rnacentral:rRNA from 1 species
AGGACUAACGCUGGCGGCGUGCCUAACACAUGCAAGUCGAACGAAGUAGCAAUACUUAGUGGCAGACGGGUGAGUAACACGUAGUCAACCUGCCCUUCAAUGGGGGAUAACUAGCCGAAAGGUUAGCUAAUACCGCAUACGAUCUCUGAGUGGCAUCACUCGGCGAUGAAAGGAGUAAUCCGUUGAAGGAGGGGACUGCGUCCCAUUAGUUAGUUGGUGGGGUAACGGCCUACCAAGACUCCGAUGGGUAGCUGGCUUGAGAGAGCGACCAGCCACACUGGAACUGAGAAACGGUCCAGACUCCUACGGGAGGCAGCAGUGAGGAAUUUUCCGCAAUGGGCGAAAGCCUGACGGAGCGACGCCGCGUGUGGGAUGAAGGCCUUCGGGUCGUAAACCACUGUCGAAGGGGACGAUAAUGACGGUACCCUUGGAGGAAGCCCCGGCUAACUACGUGCCAGCAGCCGC